GACAGAGGUGGCAAGCGUUGUUCGGAAUCACUGGGCUUAAAGGGCGUGUAGGCGGCAUUGCAAGUCUGGGGUGGAAUCCGGUGGCUUAACCACCGAACUGCCCUGGAAACUGCAUUGCUUGAGUCAGUGAGGGGAGGGCGGAAUUCCCGGUGUAGCAGUGAAAUGCGUAGAUAUCGGGAGGAAGGCCGGUGGCGAAGGCGGCCCUCUGGUGCUUGACUGACGCUGAGGCGCUAAAGCGUGGGGAGCAAACAGG
rnacentral:rRNA from 1 species